rnacentral:rRNA from 1 species
CCUACGGGUGGCUGCAGUGAGGAAUAUUGGUCAAUGGGCGGGAGCCUGAACCAGCCAAGCCGCGUGAGGGAAGAAGGUCCUGCGUAUCGUAAACCUCUUUUGUCGGGGAACAAAGGCUGGCACUAGUCCCCGGAUGAGCGUACCUUAAGAACAAGCAUGGGCUAACUCCGUGCCAGCAGCCGCGGUAAUCCGGAGGAUGCGCGGGUCAUCCGGAUUUAUUGGGUUAAAGGGGUGCGCGGGCGGCUGGUUAAGUCAGCGGUAAAAGCCCGGGGCUCAACCCCGGAGAGCCGUUAAAACUGGCGGGCUGGAGUGGGGGAGAAGUACGCGGAAUGCGCGGUGUAGCGGUGAAAUGCUUAGAUAUCGCGCAGAACCCCGAUGGCGAAGGCAGCGUGCCGGAUCGAAACUGACGCUGAGGCACGAAAGCGUGGGUAGCGAACAGGAUUAGAUACCCCGGUAGUC